UACGUAGGUGGCGAGCGUUGUCCGGAUUUACUGGGCGUAAAGAGCGCGCAGGCGGUCGUUCAAGUCGAGUGUGAAAGCCCCCGGCUCAACUGGGGAGGGUCACUCGAUACUGAUCGACUCGAAGGCAGGAGAGGGAAGCGGAAUUCCCGGUGUAGUGGUGAAUGCGUAGAUAUCGGGAGGAACACCAGUGGCGAAGGCGGCUUUCUGGCCUGUUCUUGACGCUGAGGCGCGAAAGCUAGGGUAGCAAACGGG
rnacentral:rRNA from 1 species